GGAGAUGCACUUCAUCCAAUGACACCAGACAUUGGCCAAGGUGGCUGUGCAGCCUUGGAAGAUGGCAUUGUUUUGGCUAGAUGUAUCAAUGAAGCCUUAAAGACUAAACAGGGAGUUGGAGAAGAAGAUGAGGAGGAAUUUAAUAAGAGGGUUGAAAUGGGACUGAAAAGAUAUGCUAAAGAAAGGAGAUGGAGAUGCUUCGAGCUCAUCAGUAUAGCUUAUCUGGUUGGUUCCAUACAACAAAGUGAUGGGAAGAUAUUGAACUUUUUGAGAGAUAAAAUCUUGGCUUCAUUCCUAGUUGGGUUGCUCUUAAAGAAGGCUGAGUUUGACUGUGGGAACCUCACCUCUACUUAAAUGCAAAUAAUUUUAAGUUUCAAUCAUAAUAAAGGAAUAAAAGCUAGAAGUUCUGCUUGAUCAGGAGCAUGUCUCAAUGUUUCAUCA
rnacentral:lncRNA from 1 species